CUGUUUCCACCUCGAAAAAGUUGGAAUUUAAAGUUUUCUAUUUCACAUAAAAUUGUAACCCUUUGAAUUAGAUUUCCAGCAAUGCCCGAUUCGCCUCAAUCUUUUGACCCCCAAAGCUCCUCUUUGCCUAUAAAUACUCCCCAUCUCCUCCCUUUUCAAAGGGUUGAACUUUUUUAGCAAAAUUGUGAGUUUCUUUGAGUGAAAUUCCUUGCCUCCUCUGCUCUCAUACCCUGGGCUCCGUAAAUACACCCUCCCACAGCAACUCUAACAACUAAAAAAUCAUCUAAAGCUUGAAGAACUUGAACAUAACAAGAACCUAAGCCUGAGGGAAGCAAUCAAGCAAGUUUUACAUAUUUUAUUCCCGUUUUCUUCAGUUAUUGCAAACCAGCAACUAUUUGAUGGACACAAUGGGCCUGCGGCUGCCAUAUACUCUAAGGAAAAUCUCCUAAAUAAUGUUUUGGCAUGUAUUCCUUCGAACCUUCACAGAGAUGAGUGGAUUGCAGCACUGCCAAGGGCUUUGGUUGUGGGGUUUGUAAAAACUGAUAAAGAUUUUCAAGAGAGAGCACAAACUUCAGGAACAACCGUCACCUUUAUGAUUAUUGAAGGAUGGUUCAUAACUGUAGCAUCUGUUGGUGAUUCUCGUUGUGUACUUGAAUCGGCUGAUGGUGAAAUAUAUUAUCUGUCUGCAGAUCGUAGGCUUGAAUGAAGUGUA